CGGGAGGCAGCAGUGGGGAAUAUUGGACAAUGGGGGCAACCCUGAUCCAGCCAUGCCGCGUGUGUGAAGAAGGCCUUUUGGUUGUAAAGCACUUUAAGCAGGGAGGAGAGGCUAAUGGUUAAUACCCAUUAGAUUAGACGUUACCUGCAGAAUAAGCACCGGCUAACUCUGUGCCAGCAGCCGCGGUAAUACAGAGGGUGCGAGCGUUAAUCGGAAUUACUGGGCGUAAAGCGAGUGUAGGUGGCUCAUUAAGUCACAUGUGAAAUCCCCGGGCUUAACCUGGGAACUGCAUGUGAUACUGGUGGUGCUAGAAUAUGUGAGAGGGAAGUAGAAUUCCAGGUGUAGCGGUGAAAUGCGUAGAGAUCUGGAGGAAUACCGAUGGCGAAGGCAGCUUCCUGGCAUAAUAUUGACACUGAGAUUCGAAAGCGUGGGUAGCAAACAGGAUUAGAUACCCUGGUAGUCCACGCCGUAAACGAUGUCUACUAGCCGUUGGGGUCCUUGAGACUUUAGUGGCGCAGUUAACGCGAUAAGUAGACCGCCUGGGGAGUACGGCCGCAAGGUUAAAACUCAAAUGAAUUGACGGGGGCCCGCACAAGCGGUGGAGCAUGUGGUUUAAUUCGAUGCAACGCGAAGAACCUUACCUGGUCUUGACAUCCACGGAACUUUCCAGAGAUGGAUUGGUGCCUUCGGGAACCGUGAGACAGGUGCUGCAUGGCUGUCGUCAGCUCGUGUCGUGAGAUGUUGGGUUAAGCCCCGCAACGAGCGCAACCCUCGUUCUAUGUUGCCAGCACGUGAUGGUGGGGACUCAUAGGAGACUGCCGGGGUCAACUCGGAGGAAGGUGGGGAUGACGUCAAAUCAUCAUGCCCCUUAUGUCUUGGGCUUCACGCAUGCUACAAUGGCCGGUACAAAGGGCUGCAAUACCGCAAGGUGGAGCGAAUCCCAAAAAGCCGGUCUCAGUUCGGAUUGGGGUCUGCAACUCGACCCCAUGAAGUCGGAGUCGCUAGUAAUCGCAGAUCAGCAACGCUGCGGUGAAUACGUUCCCGGGCCUUGUACACACCG
rnacentral:rRNA from 1 species